CCUACGGGUGGCUGCAGUGGGGAAUAUUGCACAAUGGGGGAAACCCUGAUGCAGCGACGCCGCGUGAGUGAAGAAGUCAUUCGUGGUGUAAAGCUCUAUCAGCAGGGAAGAAAAUGACGGUACCUGAGUAAGAAGCCCCGGCUAACUACGUUCCAGCAGCCGCGGUAAGACGUAGGGGGCAAGCGUUAUCCGGAUUUACUGGGUGUAAAGGGAGCGUAGUCGGGAUAGCAAGUCUGGAGUGAAGUGCUGGGGCUCAACCGUAGGACUGCAAUUGAAACUGUAAGUCUAGAGUACAGGAGAGGUAGGUGGAAUUCGUGGUGUAGCGGUGAAAUGCGUAGAGAUCACGAGGAACACCGAUUGCGAAGGCGGCUUACUAGAACGUAACUGACGCUGAUGCUCGAAAGCGUGGGGAGCAAACAGGAUUAGAUACCCCAGUAGUC
rnacentral:rRNA from 1 species